rnacentral:lncRNA from 1 species
UGGAGGAAUAAAAUGGCUUCUGUGUAAGAAAUGAUUGUAAUCUUUUUCUCUAGGCUUCUUAGCUAUGAAGGUCAUGGAAGCUCAAGGCUGCUGGAGACCACCCCUGCUGUCACUUAGAACUCAUCCUGCCUGAUCAUGAAGCCAACUAGCAAAAAGGAGAGCCAAGAGAUGUCAGGAGGAAAAUAAGUCCUACUGUUGUGCAGUAAGGCCCUAGUAUGUCUCCUUCUCUUGUUCAAGUCAACCAAGGAACAUCACUGUGUGUCACGUGUCCACCUUCCUUUCCCUUGCCUCGCAUGCCCUGCCUCAUCCAGGCACAGCCUGGAAGGUAGAGGUGAGUGACAAGCACGCAGGAAGCUUUAUGGAACAUCCAACACCUCAAGACUCAGCUCAGACACCACCUCCUCCAGGAAGCCUCGCCUGGUGCCCUAGUGUGCCUUCUCAGGCUGGUUCAUAGCCCAUCUCUGCUGGUCCACAGCCUUUAUUGAGGGCAGCACCAUGCAUAAGGGCUAGACUCUGGAACCCAGAUGUCCCUGAUUGGAAUGUCAGCUCUUGCCAGCUGUGUGACCUUGAACGUACGAGUAACCUAUCCGUUCCUUGGUUUCAUCACCUAUAAAAUUAACAUCAGUCUCUCUACCUAGUCCUACUUUGUUGUGAGAUUUGUCACUGAGUUAGAACAGAGGCCAGCACAUGGC